AGCUCCAAUAGCGUAUAUUAAAGUUGUUGCAGUUAAAACGCUCGUAGUCGGAUUUCGGGGCGGGGCCGCCGGUCUGCCGAUGGGUAUGCACUGGCGGUCGCGUCCUUCCUUCCGGGGACUGGCCCUACUCUUUACUGAGCGGGGGCGGGAGACGGAUCGUUUACUUUGAAAAAAUCAGAGUGUUUCAAGCAGGCAGCUCGCUCUUGCAUGGAUUAGCAUGGGAUAAUGAAAUAGGACUUUGGUGCUAUUUUGUUGGUUUCGAACACCGAAGUAAUGAUUAACAGGGACAGUCAGGGGCACUCGUAUUCCGCCGAGAGAGGUGAAAUUCUCAGACCAGCGGAAGACGAACCACUGCGAAAGCAUUUGCCAGGGAUGUUUUCA
rnacentral:rRNA from 1 species